CAGGACAGCAGUUCCGUUGUUCUGUGUGGGGUAUUUACACUGCAGAUGAACACGAAGUUUAUUCAGCAUUUAAAAGCAGGGCAGAGUUUGUAGAUUAAGUGUGGCCAUGAAUUUAAACUGGCACAAGUGAGAGACUAUCAGAGCUCCUGUCUGGGGACCUGAGACUUGGUGAUCCUGCUGAAGCGAGCAAAGAAGCACUUCUUUCUGGUGAUAUGCACUGAACCACGUAUUUUCUCUCACCUCCUUCUCUUGACCCUGAAUGCCAAAGGUCCUUCUGCACAGAUGGGGAUGACAGCACAGUGAUGCUCUGCUCAUCAGUGUAACACAUUCUUCCACCCUGCCCUUGAAGACCAGGCUCAGGAGAUGAAAUACUGCAGCACCCACUCACAGUGGGCUCUGCCAGCAGGGCUCCUUUGCUGCUGCCAGAGCUUGGUCCCACAUCUCUGCAGACCAAACCACGGUCUCACCCACAUGAGCACAGGUAGCUGCCCAUUUUCAAUCCAAACAAUUCCUGUCUCUUGUGUAUUCCACUGCUUCUGGCAACUUUAUGCUCAGUGUGAUUUGAUUUCCAUGCUGGAGUCAUCUGGGCAGUGUUGGAAGGACAGUGCUGGCUUCUCUUCCAUGGUUUUAGUUGUGACAUGCCCAGCUUUAUGUGACAUUGAGAUAUGCUCCUGCUGGCAGGGGAUGGCUUUCUUCAGGGGGACUUUUGGUCCUUUAAUCUUUACAUUCUUCUCAAGCAAAACUCUCUCCAGGCUACCCAGAUGCUUGUUUCAAGUUGGGCACAGUCCUGAGACAGCUUCAGUACAAAUCACAGCAUUUUGGGAGGUUACCAAAACUGCUGACACCAUUCAG